CCUACGGGAGGCAGCAGUGAGGAAUAUUGGUCAAUGGACGAGAGUCUGAACCAGCCAAGUAGCGUGAAGGAUGACUGCCCUAUGGGUUGUAAACUUCUUUUAUAAAGGAAUAAAACGAGGCACGUGUGCCUUUUUGCAUGUACUUUAUGAAUAAGGAUCGGCUAACUCUGUGCCAGCAGCCGCGGUAAUACGGAGGAUCCGAGCGUUAUCCGGAUUUAUUGGGUUUAAAGGGAGCGUAGAUGGGUUGUUAAGUCAGUUGUGAAAGUUUGCGGCUCAACCGUAAAAUUGCAAUUGAUACUGGCAGUCGUGAGUACAGUUGAGGUAGGCGGAAUUCGUGGUGUAGCGGUGAAAUGCUUAGAUAUCACGAAGAACCCCGAUUGCGAAGGCAGCUUACUAAACUGUGACUGACAUUGAUGCUCGAAAGUGUGGGUAUCAAACAGGAUUAGAUACCCUUGUAGUC
rnacentral:rRNA from 1 species